CUGCAGACCUGGUUCCAAUCU
rnacentral:misc_RNA from 1 species